rnacentral:rRNA from 1 species
UACGGAAUGUGCAAACGUUAUUUCGGAAUCACUGGGCUUUAAAGAGUCCGUAGGCGGCAUGUUUAGGUGAGGUGUGAAAUCCCCCGGCUCAACCGAGGAAUUGCGCUUCAAACCGGCGUGCUUGAGGAAGAUAGAGGUGGGCGGAACUGAUGGUGGAGCGGUGAAAUGCGUUUGAUAUCAUCAGGAACACCGGAGGCGAAGGCGGCCCACUGGGUCUUUUCUGACGCUGAGGGACGAAAGCUAGGGGAGCGAACGGG